GAUGAACGCUGGCAGCAUGCCUAAUACAUGCAAGUCGAGUGAACAUAUGGGGAGCUUGCUGCACUGACGUUUGCGGCGGACGGGUCUUUAACACGUGAAUAGCCUACCUAUAGGACUCGGAUAAUUUCAGCAGACCUGAUGUAAUUCCGGCAACUAUAGUUAACCGCAUGUUUAAAUAGUGAAAGACGGUUUUGCUGUCACUUAUAGAUUUAUCCGCGCCGCAUUAGCUAGUUGGUAAGGUAACGUCUUAACAAGGCAACGAUGCGUAGCCGACCUGAGAGGAUGAUCAGCCACACUGAAACUGAGAUCCGGUACAGGGUCAUACGGGAGGCAGCAGUAGGGAAUCGUCCGGCAUGGGCGAAAGCCAGACGGAGCAACGCCAAGUGAGUGAUGAAGGUAUUCGGAGUGUAAGACUCUGUUAUUAGGGAAGAAAAAAUGUGUAAGUAACUAUGAAAGUAUUGACGGUACCUAAUCAGAAAGCCACGGCUAACUACGUG
rnacentral:rRNA from 1 species